AAUACACAUCAAGCUCACACUUCAUAACAGGGACUCAUGCAUAGAGGGGAUUUACAAGCCCAUCAAGCCAACAGUGUGCUGUGCCAAAAAGGAUGACAUGUAUUCACUUGUCAGUCAAGAACGUCUAUUGCCAACAGUGAGACCCUCCCAGAUAUGCAAAUGUGACCCUGUAAACAUCACAGAGUCAGCUGGCAGAGCGGUCAUUUUGGUUUGCAUUAAUGGUAUGACCUGUAGCUUUAUAUUUUAAUUUUAAUUUUUUGCCCCGGUGUGUGUCUCAAAAUAACCAGCAAUUUAAUGUACUACUUCUUGUUUUUAGGCCAGUAUGAUUUGCACAUGCCAAAUCUGCUGUGAAGAUUCUGUCUGGCACAGUGGACGCCUGACCGGGGAGACCUUAUAAAGAGUGGAUAUUGGGCGGCAACUGUGCAUGCUGACACUUUGUUUUCAAUGGAUGUCUUCAGCACAUUCGAAGAGAUGAAAACUGUUGCCCCAAGUUUGUCAAGACAAGCAUUUUUGCGGAUGUUGGACAGCAGGACUGUUCACUUUGGAAGGGAUGGGAAAAUACAUGGAGAUGUCUUCCAACGAAGCUUCGUUGAAUAUACAUUCUGCCAGUACCAAUGUGACAGAAUGGCCAACGUGGAACAGUUC